UGCACAAACUGUUCCCACCUGUUUUGGCUGGGAAUCAUGCGGACGCCUUGCAUCUGGGCUCCAGUUCUGCAACAUAAUUGGUUCAGUGCACUUCUCUUAAGAAUCUCAUACCACGUAUCAUUGUUAAGCUGUGUUUUUUUCACCCCAGGGAGUGUCUCGUGUGAAGAGCAGCAGUGAUGUGGUGGGGGCGGUUCUAAAGGAGCUGAGGCUACAGGCUGGGGGGACAGAGGGGGGCUUCAGGCUGGCUGUGGCUGUUGAUGGAGUCAACGGUCUCUGGGGAAGGACCACGCUCAAGAAGGAGGACAAGAGCCCUGUGGCUCCAGAGGAGUUGACGUUGGUUCAUAACUUGAGGAAGAUGAUCAACAAUGACUGGUGUGGAGGGGCGGUCAUCGCCACUCUGUCUCAGACAGGGUCUCUCUACGCUCCAAGCUCUGCCUACCUGCCCCAGGAGCUGCUGGGAGAGGUCAGGGGUCAUGAUUACAUCCUGGUUAAUGUUGUUGUAUGUCCAGUCCAA